rnacentral:rRNA from 1 species
UACGUAGGGGGCAAGCGUUAUCCGGAAUUACUGGGUGUAAAGGGAGCGUAGGCGGCAUGGUAAGUUAGAUGUGAAAGCCCGGGGCUUAACCCCGAGGAUUGCAUUUAAAACUAUCAAGCUAGAGUACAGGAGAGGAAAGCGGAAUUCCUAGUGUAGCGGUGAAAUGCGUAGAUAUUAGGAAGAACACCAGUGGCGAAGGCGGCUUUCUGGACUGAAACUGACGCUGAUGCUCGAAAGCGUGGGGAGCGAACAGG